AGUGAACGCUGGCGGUAGACCUAACACAUGCAAGUCGAACGGCAGCACAGUAAGAGCUUGCUCUUACGGGUGGCGAGUGGCGGACGGGUGAGGAAUACAUCGGAAUCUACUUUUUCGUGGGGGAUAACGUAGGGAAACUUACGCUAAUACCGCAUACGACCUACGGGUGAAAGCAGGGGAUCUUCGGACCUUGCGCGAUUGAAUGAGCCGAUGUCGGACUAGCUAGUUGGCGGGGUAAAGGCCCACCAAGGCGACGAUCCGUAGCUGGUCUGAGAGGAUGAUCAGCCACACUGGAACUGAGACACGGUCCAGACUCCUACGGGAGGCAGCAGUGGGGAAUAUUGGACAAUGGGCGCAAGCCUGAUCCAGCCAUACCGCGUGGGUGAAGAAGGCCUUCGGGUUGUAAAGCCCUUUUGUUGGGAAAGAAAAGCAGCAGGUUAAUACCCCGCUGUUCUGACGGUACCCAAAGAAUAAGCACCGGCUAACUUCGUG
rnacentral:rRNA from 1 species